rnacentral:rRNA from 1 species
AACGAACGCUGGCGGCAUGCCUAACACAUGCAAGUCGAACGAGACCUUCGGGUCUAGUGGCGCACGGGUGCGUAACGCGUGGGAACCUGCCCUUAGGUUCGGAAUAACUCCCCGAAAGGGGUGCCAAUACCGGAUAGUGUCUUCGGACCAAAGAUUUAUCGCCUUUGGAUGGGCCCGCGUUGGAUUAGCUAGUUGGUAGGGUAAAAGCCUACCAAGGCGACGAUCCAUAGCUGGUCUGAGAGGAUGAUCAGCCACACUGGGACUGAGACACGGCCCAGACUCCGACGGGAGGCAGCAGUGGGGAAUAUUGGACAAUGGGCGAAAGCCUGAUCCAGCAAUGCCGCGUGAGUGAUGAAGGCCUUAGGGUUGUAAAGCUCUUUUACCCGGGAUGAUAAUGACAGUACCGGGAGAAUAAGCUCCGGCUAACUCCGUG